UGGGUUUGAUGACCAGUGUCCUUUGAUUGGAAAUUACUAUGUUAAUUCUGACCUGGAAGACAGUGAAUUUAGAAUGCCCUGUUGAUCUGAACAUCUUGAUCACUGCCUUUGGUGGGCUUUUUAUUAAGCUUGAUGUAGACUUGACUUCUGGAAGUUGGAGACCCUGCCCUCCAUUUUGAAAACGGAAAAUAAAAACCGCAGAUCUGUGAAGGUCUAAGGCGAAGUUCAGAAAAGCUGUAUCGACUGUUGAGACCUGGCGACUUGUUUAAAUUUCAUCAGCCUCACUUCUAUGAACUCUCAGGGGCUGUUAUAUAAUCCUCACCCUAUUUGGAAUAAUGAAAAUAUUUGAACAAAUGCCAUCAAACAGGUAUCAAUGCAACUCUACCACACUGACUUCUUAUAUCAAAAGGCCCAUAUUUAACAAAG